UACGUAGGGUGCAAGCGUUGUCCGGAAUUAUUGGGCGUAAAGAGCUUGUAGGCGGUUUGUCGCGUCUGCUGUGAAAUUUCGGGGCUCAACCCCGAACUUGCAGUGGGUACGGGCAGACUAGAGUGUGGUAGGGGAGACUGGAAUUCCUGGUGUAGCGGUAAAAUGCGCAGAUAUCAGGAGGAACACCGAUGGCGAAGGCAGGUCUCUGGGCCAUAACUGACGCUGAGAAGCGAAAGCAUGGGGAGCGAAACAGGG
rnacentral:rRNA from 1 species